rnacentral:misc_RNA from 1 species
AAUUCUCAAAAUGAACAAUUUUUGUUGUUUUAUUUUGGACUUGAGGGUUUUGUUGGCUCUAAUAUAUUUGAGUUGGCUCCCUUUAAAUAUAUGAGUGGCUUAUUGAUCCCCCAUUAUUUGGUGUGAUAGCUAUAUCUACAUCAUGUACAAUGGCGGAAUCAUAUAAUAUAGCUGCUAUCUAACUGUCGAAAGACAAUUUUGAACC